UCUCCCGGUUGGGUGCUCGGUUGCUGUCUGCCGCCGCAUCCUUCUUUGCAACGUCUGGUGCCUUCCUCUCCAAACUCCAAGGCCAGUCUCCUAGAGGCGAUAUCUGUUCCUGGUUGCCGAAGGAAGCUUCGGGCUCGGCAGACCACUUGCUCUGGGGAAAACUAGCUGCCAUGUUAUGAAGACACUCAAGCAGUUCUGUGGAGAGACCCUUGUGGCAAGGAACUGAGGCCUCCUGCCGACAGCCAGCACUGAGUUGCCAGCCCUGGUCAAGUCUUUGAUGAUUGCAACCCCAGCUGACAUCUUGACUAUGACCUGAUGAGAGCCCUCUCCAGAACCACCCAGCUAAGCCACUUCAGAAUUUCUGACCCACAAAAACUAGGUGAACCUUUCCUGAAGGAAUAAAUGUUGAAUAGCUCAGCUGACUAAUUGUGGGAAGGACCAAAUCACGCGAGGACAGGUGAAAAUAUUGUUUAAUAUUUCAAACACUUAUCCACCACACAUAUGCUAUAUCAAAGAAUCUUCUCAACGGCUCUGAGGAAGAUCUU